rnacentral:tRNA from 2 species
UGCCCUGUGGUGUAACUGGCAACACGUCUGACUCUGGAUCAGAAGAGUCCAGGUUCGACCCCUGGCGGGGCAGCCA